rnacentral:rRNA from 1 species
GAUGAACGCUGGCGGCGUGCCUAAUACAUGCAAGUCUAGCGAACGGACGAGAAGCUUGCUUCUCUGAUGUUAGCGGCGGACGGGUGAGUAACACGUGGAUAACCUACCUAUAAGACUGGGAUAACUUCGGGAAACCGGAGCUAAUACCGGAUGAUAUUUUGAACCGCAUGGUUCAAAAGUGAAAGACGGUCUUGCUGUCACUUAUAGAUGGAUCCGCGCUGCAUUAGCUAGUUGGUAAGGUAACGGCUUACCAAGGCAACGAUGCAUAGCCGACCUGAGAGGGUGAUCGGCCACACUGGAACUGAGACACGGUCCAGACUCCUACGGGAGGCAGCAGUAGGGAAUCUUCCGCAAUGGGCGAAAGCCUGACGGAGCAACGCCGCGUGAGUGAUGGAGGUCUUCGGAUCGUAAAACUCUGUUAUUAGGGAAGAACAUAUGUGUAAGUAACUGUGCACAUCUUGACGGUACCUAAUCAGAAAGCCACGGCUAACUACGUG